CGUAACUAAUCUUGUUUUCAUCAGUUUUCUUAUCACAAAUGAUUGCAUUUCUAAAACAGGAGGCUUCUGUCUCUGGACCUUUUCCAUCUAGAAGAUUCUGCUCAGGACGAACAAGAUCACUCCAUCGCACAUGAAUGUCUAGAUAUCUAACCUGAAGUGCUAGCUGUGAUGCAUUCUUACUCUUCUCAACUGCAGCUCUCCAACCCAUCUGUCUGCUUCUGUUAGGAAGCUGAGGAUCAUCAGCAUAAUACACACCAGAAAUCUUUCUUGAACCACCUUGCCUAGCUGCCCUUCUAAGCACCGACUGAGGCAAACUUUGUUUAUGGAACACAUGCUUUAGUAGCUUUCCCCCUUGCCACCAGACAAAACUUUUGUCAUCACAACCAUCAGCUCUAAUGUCAGACAUACCAGAUUGCCUCCUAUGCCGCUUCCCACCUGGUCCACGUUUUUGUGUGGUUCCAAUGGUGCUUGUAGAACAUUGAAUCACAGGAGAAUCAACCAACCAAUCAUCCAUUGCCUUGGCCCAGUCCCCAGAAAGAGCAAUAGUGCGGAUGUUUUCCUCAAGCUCAAGCAAGGGGCCUUUUAUUGCACUGCAAGUUGAAGCAUCUUCUAUUCUUUUACGCCACUGUUUUCUGUAACUUGUGCUCACAAAGGGGCCUACUGUAAUACCACAUAAAACCUCUCCCAUGUACAAAAUAUAAGUUGAAAUGCUAGGAAGACUGCCCUCUCCACUCAUUAUAGGACGAAGGCCACUGAGGAUCUUCAUGGUACCUUUAGUAGCAGUCAAGGCAGCUGAGUUUAACAUACA
rnacentral:misc_RNA from 1 species